rnacentral:rRNA from 1 species
CCUACGGGUGGCAGCAGUGGGGAAUAUUGCACAAUGGGGGAAACCCUGAUGCAGCGACGCCGCGUGAGUGAAGAAGUAUUUCGGUAUGUAAAGCUCUAUCAGCAGGGAAGAAAAUGACGGUACCUGAUUAAGAAGCCCCGGCUAACUACGUGCCAGCAGCCGCGGUAAUACGUAGGGGGCAAGCGUUAGCCGGAUUUACUGGGUGUAAAGGGAGCGUAGACGGCAGCACAAGUCUGGAGUGAAAUUCCGGGGCUUAACCCCGGAACUGCUUUGGAAACUGGGCGGCUAGAGUGAAGGAGAGGUAGGUGGAAUUCCUAGUGUAGCGGUGAAAUGCGUAGAUAUUAGGAGGAACACCAGUGGCGAAGGCGGCCUACUGGACAGUAACUGACGUUGAGGCUCGAAAGCGUGGGGAGCAAACAGGAUUAGAUACCCUGGUAGUC